CACUCUCCCGACAGAGUGUUAGGGCCUUUGUCUUUAGCUUGAAUGUACAUUUCAUACAUUUUGGUUUCCUCAAAAUCAAUGACACCUUUGACUUUUAUUUCUCCUGUGUUUUGAUUCAGAGAAAACACUUCCUGCGUCUUCUCAGAUGUGUACAGGAUGAAUGAAUAUUCGAUCUCCGCGCUUGAGCCCUCAUCUAAGUCUGUAGCGUUCAGCUUCAGUACAAGUGUCCCUAGCGGAGAAUUCUCUGUAAUAUUAACGGAAUAAACCUGCCGGUCAAACUGAGGGGCAUUGUCAUUCGUGUCCAGUACGCGCACAAUGAUGUUAGCAGUUCCGGACCGCGCCGGGACUCCGCCGUCUACAGCGACUUGGGGAGGAAGAGCAGAGAUUGCUCCUCCUCAUCUUGUGAUGUCAGAGCCUCCUGCUGCCUCCCAGAGGAUGCCUUCUGGACCACAGACAGCUGCAGCAUCCAGACCACCAAUGGGGGAUGAGUUACAGUGCAGCCAAUGGAGAGUGCUGCCUGGAAGUCGGAGAUUUUAUUCCUGAAGGGAAAUCACUGGAUAGUCAAGAUUUAACUACUGGGUAGCACUGGUGCUCCCAAUUUCAAUUUGGUAGCAGCACCAAAAAUGUAAUUAUUUAUGAUAACUAAAUAUUUCACUGUUGACAUCAUGUGAUCACUGGGGAUACACAACCAGAACCUGUCCCAAUUCUGUCACAUGACACCCUGCUUCAAUAAAGGUUAAAUAAUGCAAAAAAA